AUUGAACGCUGGCGGCAGGCCUAACACAUGCCAGUCGAACGGUAACAGGAAGAAGCUUGCUUCUUUGCUGACGAGUGGCGGACGGGUGAGUAAUGUCUGGGAAACUGCCUGAUGGAGGGGGAUAACUACUGGAAACGGUAGCUAAUACCGCAUAACGUCGCAAGACCAAAGAGGGGGACCUCCGGGCCUCUUGCCAUCGGAUGUGCCCAGAUGGGAUUAGCUAGUAGGUGGGGUAACGGCUCACCUAGGCGACGAUCCCUAGCUGGUCUGAGAGGAUGACCAGCCACACUGGAACUGAGACACGGUCCAGACUCCUACGGGAGGCACCAGUGGGGAAUAUUGCACAAUGGGCGCAAGCCUGAUGCAGCCAUGCCGCGUGUAUGAAGAAGGCCUUCGGGUUGUAAAGUACUUUCAGCGGGGAGGAAGGGAGUAAAGUUAAUACCUUUGCUCAUUGACGUUACCCGCAAAAGAAGCACCGGCUAACUCCGUG
rnacentral:rRNA from 1 species